rnacentral:rRNA from 1 species
CCUACGGGAGGCAGCAGUGGGGAAUAUUGCACAAUGGGGGAAACCCUGAUGCAGCAACGCCGCGUGAGUGAAGAAGGUUUUCGGAUUGUAAAGCUCUGUUAGCAGGGAAGAGGAAGGACGGUCCCUGCAGAGGAAGCCACGGCUUACUACGUGCCAGCAGCCGCGGUAAUACGUAGGUGGCAAGCGUUGUUCGGAAUAACUGGGCGUAAAGGAUGCGUCGGCGGUUAAACAAGUUAUAUGUUAAAUAUAUGGGCCUAACCUGGAGAAAGCCUAUAAAACUGUUUAACGUGAGUUCAGGAGAGGGAGGUGGAAGUCCGUGUGUAGCGGUGAAAUGCGUAGAGAAUAGGAAGAACACCAGGGGCGAAGGCGGC